CUUAGACAGCUAGGAUGUUGGCUUAGAAGCAGCCAUCAUUUAAAGAAAGCGUAAUAGCUCACUAGUCGAGUCGGCCUGCGCGGAAGAUGUAACGGGGCUAAGUUGUAAACCGAAGCUGCGGCAAUGUUCUUUGAACAUUGGGUAGGGGAGCGUUCUGUAAGCCGUUGAAGGUGUGUUGUAAAGCAUGCUGGAGGUAUCAGAAGUGCGAAUGCUGACAUGAGUAACGACAAGGGGGGUGAAAAACCUCCCCGCCGGAAGACCAAGGGUUCCUGUCCAACGUUAAUCGGGGCAGGGUAAGUCGACCCCUAAGGCGAGGCCGAAAGGCGUAGUCGAUGGGAAACGGGUUAAUAUUCCCGUACUUCUUACAAUUGCGAUGGGGGGACGGAGAAGGCUAGGUGGGCCUGGCGACGGUUGUCCAGGUUCAAGUGCGUAGGCUGAGUGUUUAGGUAAAUCCGGACACUCUUAAGGCUGAGACACGACGUCGAGCUACUACGGUAGUGAAGUCAUUGAUGCCAUGCUUCCAGGAAAAGCCUCUAAGCUUCAGAUUGUAAGGAAUCGUACCCCAAACCGACACAGGUGGUCG
rnacentral:rRNA from 1 species